UGGUGGGUAGUUUGACUGGGGCGGUCUCCUCCUAAAGAGUAACGGAGGAGCACGAAGGUUGGCUAAUCCUGGUCGGACAUCAGGAGGUUAGUGCAAUGGCAUAAGCCAGCUUGACUGCGAGCGUGACGGCGCGAGCAGGUGCGAAAGCAGGUCAUAGUGAUCCGGUGGUUCUGAAUGGAAGGGCCAUCGCUCAACGGAUAAAAGGUACUCCGGGGAUAACAGGCUGAUACCGCCCAAGAGUUCAUAUCGACGGCGGUGUUUGGCACCUCGAUGUCGGCUCAUCACAUCCUGGGGCUGAAGUAGGUCCCAAGGGUAUGGCUGUUCGCCAUUUAAAGUGGUACGCGAGCUGGGUUUAGAACGUCGUGAGACAGUUCGGUCCCUAUCUGCCGUGGGCGCUGGAGAACUGAGGGGGGCUGCUCCUAGUACGAGAGGACCGGAGUGGACGCAUCACUGGUGUUCGGGUUGUCAUGCCAAUGGCAUUGCCCGGUAGCUAAAUGCGGAAGAGAUAAGUGCUGAAAGCAUCUAAGCACGAAACUUGCCCCGAGAUGAGUUCUCCCUGACCCUUUAAGGGUCCUGAAGG
rnacentral:rRNA from 1 species